UAAUUAAACAUAAUUAUGGAUAUUAAUGAGAUUUGUUUUGUUUUUUAGACGGCCAGGUGGUCGGCAUUGCUCAUUGGCAUUAUUUACGGAAAGCGAAGAUAUGAUAAUCUGAAACCAAUCGCAGAGGAGGAGAGGAGAAUCGAAGAGGAGGAGAAGAAGGUACGAGAGGAGAAGGAACGCAUUGCUAAACAGCUAGCAGAAGCUAAUGAGGACACAAUCUUGAAGUGAUCUGCCCAAAAUGACGCCUGUAUCGCUAAUAUUGUAAAGAUCUUGUUACCUGUCUAGAUAAAUAAUGAUGCUUGUAUUCUCCCACUUUGGUUUUACAGUGCCCUUUUCACACCUUUCACCGUUUUCUUAUAGAUCAUGUCAGAUUAAUGCCUCAUUUGUGAAAUAACUGAAUACAUGUAAAUAUGUAUACACAUUUCCUCUGAUUGGACACUGUCUAUUCUUUCACUGAAGAACCUCUGAUAAUAAUGUGAUGCAGAUGUAAAACAAGCAAUGUAAUGUUAAACACACUGAAUCAGAGUUCCCCUUUGGGAAACGUCCACACCAAUAUUUAUUAAUAAACUGUUAAUCCCUA